AUGACUUUGAACCAAAGGUGGCAGAUUUUUCACUCGCAAAUUUUUUGCCGAAUACCGGUGAUGUUAACCACAUCACCAGCAUAUUGAGGGGAACUAACGUUUAUGCAGAUCCAGAAUACGGUGAUAUUCAAAGAGUAUCAGAAAAAUCAGAUAUUUAUUCUUUUGGAGUUGUUCUUUUAGAAUUAAUUACUGGAAGAAAACCUUUAGAUAAAAAAGGUGACACUAUUGUUAAUUGGGCAAAGGAUCGGAUUGGGCAAGCAUUAGACGAUAAUGAAUGUAACGAUCUUGUUGAUUCCAGACUGCAAGAAUAUAACGAGGAAGAAAUGAUAAGAAUGAUUUGUUGCGCUGCAGCUUCGGUGUAUAAACCUUCACAUUCUCGGCCAACAAUGAAACAGAUAAUUAAAGUGCUUGAAGGAACUAUGCCUCAUGUGAAGAUUAUGAAUUGGAAAGACAUCGAAACUCUACAGGGAAGGGCUGCUACUAAUCUAGAAUCUGUUCUUGGCGUUGAGAGGAUACAAAUUACUCCGCAGAAAAUCUUUGCUUAUAAAGAACUAGCAAUAGCAACUAGUGGUUUCUCCAACGGCAACCUCCUUGGCCAGGGUGGUUUUGGUCAAGUUUAUAGGGGAACACUUUCAAAUGGUGAAGUUGUUG
rnacentral:misc_RNA from 1 species